rnacentral:rRNA from 1 species
GACAGAGGGUGCAAACGUUGUUCGGAAUUACUGGGCGUAAAGCGAGUGUAGGCGGUUUGGUAAGUCGGAUGUGAAAGCCCCGGGCUCAACCCGGGAAGUGCACUCGAUACUGCCAAGCUAGAGUAUCGGAGAGGUUGGUGGAAUUCUCGGUGUAGAGGUGAAAUUCGUAGAUAUCGAGAGGAACACCGGUGGCGAAGGCGGCCAACUGGACGAAUACUGACGCUGAGGAGCGAAAGCCAGGGGAGCAAACGGG